rnacentral:lncRNA from 1 species
UAGUUCUUGAGCAUAUGAACAACUUUCAAGAAGGAACCAUUUCUGUUUGAGCGACGGAAAUUAAAGUGUUGAAGCUCCAAACAUGACAGUCGGAUUCUUGCAGAUUUCGAAGCUGUUGUGAUGUUUCGAAGAUCUGGAAAUAUUUAACCAUUAGUUCAUUCUGAAUUUUUGAUAUGUUAUGAAAGAGACGAUGAGGAACAACUUCAAUGAAGAAAGCAUGCGAUCUGAACAAGAGAAAAUGGAGUUUCGAAGCUCACAACAAAUCUGACGGGUUGACAGACAAAUAAUAACCAGUCAUUCAUCAUACCUGGAUUUCUGGAGUUAUACAGCUCCGAGGGAUCUCAAAUUUGGAUAUGUUGUAGUUCACAAGCUGAGGAACAACUUCAAUGAAGAAAGCAU